CAGCUUAGUUCAAUCGUCAAUUACAGCACUUCUUCGGUCCUGUCGAUGCUGGGCUGGUCGAGACUCUCCACCAAUGUCCGACCCAGGGGGUCGUAGGCUGAUGUCGCAAGCCUGGAGAGUGCAUCAGCCCAAGCGUUCUCCAUCUUAGGAAUGUGGGAGAUCUCAAAAUACUUGAGGUGUGUCACGAGAUCUCUCAGCUUCUGGAGAUAUUUUGCCAUGGUCGGAUCUCACGCUUCAAAGUCACCUUUAACUUGCCCC
rnacentral:lncRNA from 1 species